rnacentral:rRNA from 1 species
CCUACGGGAGGCAGCAGUGGGGAAUCUUGCGCAAUGGGCGAAAGCCUGACGCAGCAACGCCGCGUGCGGGAAGAAGGCUUUCGGGCUGUAAACCGCUUUCAGCAGGAACGAAAAUGACGGUACCUGCAGAAGAAGGAGCGGCCAACUAUGUGCCAGCAGCCGCGGUGAUACAUAGGCUUCAAGCGUUGUCCGGAUUUAUUGGGCGUAAAGAGUUCGUAGGCGGUCGAGUAAGUCGGGUGUGAAAAUUCUGGGCUCAACCCAGAGACGCCACCCGAUACUGCUUGACUUGAGUUCGAUAGGGGAGUGGGGAAUUCCUAGUGUAGCGGUGAAAUGCGCAGAUAUUAGGAGGAACACCGGUGGCGAAGGCGCCACUCUGGAUCGAUACUGACGCUGAGGAACGAAAGCAUGGGUAGCAAACGGGAUUAGAUACCCUGGUAGUCCAUGCUGUAAACGGUGGGCACUAGGUGUGGGUUUCUAUUAACGAAAUCCGCGCCGUCGCUAACGCAUUAAGUGCCCCGCCUGGGGAGUACGGUCGCAAGACUAAAACUUAAGGAAUUGACGG